rnacentral:lncRNA from 1 species
CUCUUCCUGCCGCGCUCCCUCAGAACUGGCUGAAGAACACUAGCUACUUCUCCAGCUGCGUGCCGCCAUGUUCCCUGUCAUGGGGAUAAAGGGACUAAAUCCCUCUGAAACGGUUCAUCUAUGAAGCAGCUGGCUCCAGAACCUUCUGCCUGCCUAAGGCCGAAUAAUGCUCUGCUUCUGAGUAUGCUGACUUGGGUUGUCUGUUUACCUCACUGCUGGCUGCUGGCUGCUGUCCCCCUGGGAGCUCCCUGCUUGGCUGCUGUGGCUAAUGCUGCCAGGAGGAGGAAGAAUGGACCCUUGCAAGGACACAGCUACCGCCCAGGGGUGCCUGGCGAGACAGAUUCUGCAAAUGUUUGUCAGCUCAGAGCCAGGUCUAGAAUGUGGCCUCUCUGGAGCUCGCUUGUUGGCUCCCCCAGAUGCAUCAUGGAAGGAGUUCCGCAUGCUCUGAGACAGUUUCUUCCCAGGAGGGGAUCAGCUUACUGGAGCAGCGCUGUUUUCUGUGGACCCUUGUCUAGUUGUGGCGGUUGCUGGGAAAGAUGAAGUCCCCAGACUGGAGCUCAGGCUGCAAAGAGGCUGGCAUGGCACCUGGAUACCGAGCCACUCCUUGACAAAAGCCCUCUCCAGCCUGCGUGGACCUCGCGUGAGAGAAGUCUAGGUGGCUGUGGGCAGCCCACAGGCUUCCGUUGCCGCUGCGUUACAGCUUGUCGUCUUAAUCUUGAAAUGAGACCUGGUUCACUUGAUCUCAUUAAUAAAAGGUCUGUGCUCCCCCUAGUCAUAAAAACA